UCCAGACUGUGAAGGAAACCGGAGGGAAGGAAUUACUCUUCCCAAGAGCCUCGGGCUGUUUCCUAAAACAAUUUGGGAGGCACAUCCCACCCCGGUGGUUUAGGGAGCCCCAACCCUGGCUUUUCAGAACGCAUGCAGGGGAAAAUGGGACCUGCGGAGGCUUUCUGCCAGCGAUGAUUUGAUGGAAAGACUCACGUUUGCUGAACGUUAGGCUAACGGAGAGGGGACGUACAUCUGAAGGCUGCACUUGGAUUUAUUUGCCAUGCCUAUGAAGUGGCUGGUCCUGGGCACAGUUUUACGAGCCCACGUUUGCGAGCUGUGGUUUGGAAGCGCCCUAAGCUCAGGCUGACUUGGUUGGAAGUCUAAGCACUGACAAUAGAAGGUGCUGGAAAAUGAAGACUCAUUUGGGAAGGCUCAACGUGUGCCAACCUGAGGUGACAUUUGGGAAGAGUUUCCUGGAUCAUUACCACCUGCAGCAAAGUACAGUACAGGAUCAUUCUGGGGACAUGUGGGCCUCCUCUUUGAGAGCCUGGCCUGAGGAUGUCCCAUUGGGCCGGCUGGCCUUCCCUGCAGCUGGACUGCGGCUCUGGAGUUUCCAUCCCUCGGCGCACGUUGUCUCCUGCAUCACAGCUGCACCUCAGUCCAUAGUCUGACAGGACCCACCUCACUUGUCCGCUUCCCUCUCCCUCCCAGGCAGUGUCUUCAGUGCCUCCCUUAUGUGUGUUUUCUUGGGAUCGGCUCCACAGAGAACGCAAAUCAACACAGUGCCCUCGAGUAAAAUGUGGUGGUAUCCUAGUAACCCCAAAACGCAGGCGAACUCGCGAUCUGAGGCAGGGGAUCUUACACUAAGGCCAGCGUGAGCUAUAUAGCAAGAUCCCGCCUCAAAAAAAGAGUACAGUCUUGUCGAUCAGAGAAGGCUUUGGACUCUGGACAGGAAUUUGACGGUUUCAUCCUGAUUCUGUUCUUAAUGAAUAUGUGGGUUUGGCUGAGCUCUCAGUCCUUCCUGGCCUCAGUUUCUUAUUCAGUGAAAGAGGAUAGUAUGAGCUUCCCAGGAUUUUGGUGUUCUGUAAACCUUGGGGAGUCCACCACAGAGCCAGCUCUCAGUCACCUUUGCUUGCUCUUCCUCCCUCUGAGCCUUGCUUCCACAAGUCUCUCUUCUGUAAACCCAGCAAAGGGCCUCAUCCAAUCAGUGACUCUCCUGGGAGACUCUACAGUCAAAUGCAGGCACUCUAACAAGUGUUCAGGAACCAGAUCACAGGAGCCAACUCAACCAACACAGAGGAGCUAACACAACCGACAUGGUAGAGCCGAUACAACCAAUACAGUCACUUCCGGGACACUGUCUCAGUCUUCCCAAUUGUGCAGCUCAGGAGUCUGCAGUUUGUGGAAGUAUAAUGUCCCAGCAGAAGAUGGAGCUUGGGUGUGUUCCGUUCAGAGCUGGGCCCCAAUCAGCAUAGGGUGGUCGGACAAGACAGUGAAGAGGUACUCCGUCUUGUAUUUUUGCUGAGGCCAUUUUAGGUUUAGCUAGAAUUUGAUCUCCUUGAUGGAGAACCCCAUGGAAAAUUACCCAACUCUAUUCUAGGAACCUGAGAUCAAGAUGCCCCAGCGAAUUUAUCACGACAUCUGUUAAAUUGCAUGCUUGCUCAAAACCUCCCCUGAAGUUGCCAAAUGAGAUACCUGGGUGUAGUUUUUGCUUUUUAAAGCCCCUUGCUCUAAACACUUGGUACUACACUUGGGUCCCAAAUACCUGAGUGUCAUUCUAGCCAAUUGGAAUAAAGACUUUCAGUUGGCUAUUAACUGCCUCCAAGUGGUCAUCUCUGGUGGGCUCCCCAUAGCGGUAGAAGCCACUCUUAUACUGGAGAGUGAUUGGAUAGCCUCCAGGGAGAAGCAAGGUGUUCUGGCUAGCUGACCAGUUUCUAAAAAACCUUCACGAAGACUUGAAGGUGUAACUCCAUGGUAGAACAUUUGGUUACUAUGUGCAAGGCUUGGAGUUCCAGUCUAGCGCCAGGCCCAACCAAUCAAGCAUCAAUAGCUUUCAUGGAUGCAUGAAGCCUCGUUGGAGGAUGUGGGAUAUUUUUGUCAGGUGGUAGGAGUGAAACAGAUCAGAGGGACUCACCUCUGCUGGGGACAGUGAAGCUGGGGUUAGACACUAUCACUGUUCAGUACCGUUGCAGUAUUGAUUGUAUUCCCAAUAGGCCUUUAUGAUAAGCACCCUUUUAAUGCUUCAUCUUUUUCCUUUAAAGAAGUUGGGGUGUUAGAAGCUGACUUGAGAGUUGGGCAUGCUAGCACAUACAUUUAAUUCUAUCACUUGGAAGGCAGAGGCAGGUGGGUCUCUCUGAGUUCAAGGACAAUCUGGGCUACAGAAGAAGACAGAAGAAGAGGGGAGGAGGAGGGGGAGACGGAAGUAGCAGCUGUGGAGCUGAUCUGUCUCUAUACCUGGCAGUUAUUGGACUCUUCCCUGCUGUUUCACUGCCUUGGGCAGAGGCUGGUCAGACCAAGCAACCUGGCUACCCUGAACGCUCAAGGGACUCCUCAAAGAAGGAACACAUCAAUCACGGGGACAUGGUGAGUCCAGCUCCAGCUUCAGACAGUGCUGUCUCGGGGAUGAGUUUAGUUACUUAUAGGAGUGUGGACAACUUAAAAUCAAAUACAUCGUGGAAGAUACAAUCUCUCUCCAGUAACCUUUAACUGCCUGUAUAUCUUCAGGGUGACAUGGGCCCUGGUGACCCCCUCUCCCAGCAACUAACCAUGUUCUGUCUACAGAUCUUAGAGGAGAGGCAAGGCCCCUUGUACCUCUCCCCCACCGAGCUACUGCCACCUAUAUGAGAGUCCUCAUGAAGGUGAGAGGCUCUGUAAGUACCUCCUCACCUCCAUGAUGCAAAGUUAAUGGGCCCAAUCUUAUGCAGCUCUCCCUGGGUGAGCACAGCUAAUGACAGUUCAAGAGGGCACCAGCCACGUCAUGGCAGAAGAACAGCCGUCCUCACCAGCAGCCAAAGCACAUGACAUUUCGGAGGCUGUAAUAGAUGUGAGGAUACAUCUGGCAUUGGUAAAAACCCUUGGUCCAAAUCCCAGCUCUGUCGGUUACUAGCUGUGUAGCCUGGGUUUAGGCUGCAGAAUCUGUGUGCCUCCUCGGUUUACUUGUUUGUAAAGCAGGCAGAGCAGCAGCUGUCCUGGUGAGGUGGGUUGGGAGGGUGAAGCGAACUGCUGCAUGGCCUUACUGGGUGCAUUGCAGGCUUUAUUCCUCCCUAAGUCAGCGGUCAGCACAGUCCUUGCUCCUGCCAGGUCAGGACGAGAAGAGCCUUGAGUUUUCUCCGGUGUUAGGUAAGAAAGCUGGAAGGGCUGGUGCCUGGUGGCGCUCCUUCCCAGCAGCGACGGCAUGAAUCAUACUUGAGGCAAGGUCCCGGAGUCUGAGCCCGGCUGCAUCAGCGAAAUUGAGAUAGGAACGAGGCCAUAAAAAGAAUCAGUGCCCUCACCUAAGUACCUGAUUGCAAAUAUUUGGCUUCAGCGGAUCCUUCUGGCGUUUUCUCCAGGGAGAAACUUGGAGGUUGCUGUCUGGGAUAAAUCACACAGAUGGAACAGCAACCCACUACCCUUUCCAGUCACUAAUAAGACCCUAAAGCUUGCCCCCCUGGGGUAGGGGAAGUCAGAAGAAAGGAAGCAGUCAUUUUUUUUUAAAGUGCAUGCUUCCCCUGCGGUUGAGCCAGCUGGAAUGUGGUCAACAGUUGCUGUCAGGGCCUGAGAUAGCUCAGCCCUCCCUCUGUGCACCCACUGCACACUCCUAAGAGGCGCAGACCAUUGCUGCCUGGGCCUGCUGCACUCUGCUCACGGCUGGUCCUCAUCUCCCCCGGGAGAUCUAAAGAGAACUUAAUCCAUAUGUUUGGAUUCCCUCACUCAUCAAAAUGCAAUUUUCCAAGAGUCAUUUGAUCUCCAAGAUGUUAUGUGAGUGUCUUUUUAUAUUUUAUAUUUUCCUUCAGAAAAGGAAAGCUGACGGUUUGCCAAAAGAAAAUGAACUCCAAACCCUCGGGGUCUGAAUGGGGUUCAAACAUCGGGCCCCAGGGAGCCGGGCAGAGGAUGUUGCUUAGCCAGGCCUUGAAUGUUCUGCCCAGAAGCCAGGUGAACCCAGGCAAAGUGAAGACAAUUCUUUUACCUCUCUCCCCUCCCCUCCCCUCUGGUAAUUGAAAACGACUCAGACAGCUCUUAGACACUCCAUACUUUGUAAGAGUGUGUGCCUUUGCAAAUGCCCCAGAGUGUUUUGGGAGGAGUGUUUUUUUCUUUCGGCAGACAAAGUCUUAUGGACCGUAGGCUGGUCUUAAACUCACUGUAUAGCUGAGUGUGACCUUGCACUUCCAAUCUUACAUGCACAUUCAACAUGCUUGGAUUACAUUUGCCGUCAUGCCCUCUUCAUACAGUGCUGGGGAUUGAACUCGGGGCCUCCACCAUUUGUGCAUGCUAGGUAAAUGCUCUAAUGACUGAGCUAUAGCCCUGCACUCAUGGAUCCUCUGUACACCACCACCCUUUAAUUGGCGUCUUUACUCCUUGUCCUUGCUCCCUCCUCUCUCCUUCCUUCUUCCUUCAGCACACACUGAAUGCUAAUGAUGCUGCAGCCAGUGACGUGAGUUGGGGACACACCCGAGGGAGAAGACCACACCAUCCCCACCCUGUCACAUCUCCUGCUCACUCUUGAGAGAUGCCACCAUGCCAACAGAGGAGUGUCUGGCAGGCGGGUUUGUGACCAGCAGUGAGAAAGGAGAAGCUUAAGGAAGGUGGAUGUGGAGGAGCUCCCAGGGAAGGGACUGGAGCCUGGGACUUGCUGUAUCCGAAAGCUGAUCCCUCAACUCUACCUUCAGCCCACUGUGUACCUUCUUUUGUCCCACCAGGGUCACACCCAGCACGUGGCCCAGUGGCAAGUCUCACGGAAACUUUUUAGGCCUUUUGGAACCCGUCUUUCCCUCAGCCCUGAUGGCACAACCCCUCAAAGAAUAAACACACAAUACUGUUUCUCAGUCUCUCCGUCCUGCCUUCUCUCCCCUUCUCUUCUUCCCCUUUUCCCUUCCCUCUCCCCCCUCCUCCUCCCUCCUUCUCUCCUUCCC